AGUGAACGCUGGCGGUAGGCCUAACACAUGCAAGUCGAACGGCAGCACAGUAAGAGCUUGCUCUUACGGGUGGCGAGUGGCGGACGGGUGAGGAAUACAUCGGAAUCUACUUUUUCGUGGGGGAUAACGUAGGGAAACUUACGCUAAUACCGCAUACGACCUACGGGUGAAAGCAGGGGGUCUUCGGACCUUGCGCGAUUGAAUGAGCCGAUGUCGGACUAGCUAGUUGGCGGGGUAAUGGCCCACCAAGUCGACGAUCCGUAGCUGGUCUGAGAGGAUGAUCAGCCACACUGGAGCUGAGACACGGUCCAGACUCCUACGGGAGGCAGCAGUGGGGAAUAUUGGACAAUGGGCGCAAGCCUGAUCCAGCCAUACCGCGUGGGUGAAGAAGGCCUUCGGGUUGUAAAGCCCUUUUGUUGGGAAAGAAAAGCAGCAGGUUAAUACCCCGCUGUUCUGACGGUACCCAAAGAAUAAGCACCGGCUAACUUCGUG
rnacentral:rRNA from 1 species